rnacentral:miRNA from 1 species
ACCAAUGCAGACUCGAGGGCCCUGAGGGUGCCCAGCAUGGCCUCAGAGCUCCAUGGGU